CUUGGUCAUUUAGAGGAAGUAAAAGUCGUAACAAGGUCUCCGUAGGUGAACCUGCGGAGGGAUCAUUAAUGAAUGGCUUUGGCCUUCAACCAUCAACCCGUGGAAGCAAGACGUGCUUUGGCGCUCCGACGCCACGUUUAUGCGGCAAAGUGUUUGUCUGAAUCGAAUUAAGAAUUAAAACUUUCAACAACGGAUCUCUUGGCUCUCGCAUCGAUGAAGAACGCAGCGAAAUGCGAUAAGUAAUGUGAAUUGCAGACCUCAGUGAAUCAUCGAAUCUUUGAACGCAUAUUGCACUCUCUGGUAUUCCGGAGAGUAUGCCUGUUUCAGUAUCAGUAAACACCAUCAAACACCUCCAAGAGCGGGGUUGUUUGGAUUUGAGUGUUGCCGAGAAAACUGACCCUUUUUGCGGCCCGCUCGAAAUGCAAGUACACAGGACAGGGAUCUCCCGAGGUGUGAAACAAAAAAAGCGUCGUAGUUGACUUGAUCGUCUUCUUUCGCUGAAAAAGAACGCCCGGUUUUUGGGACCUUUGCUGUGCAAAUUCGCAGGAAGAUAAGGAAUAUUCUUUAUCACUUCUUGAUCUGAAAUCAGGUAGGACUACCCGCUGAACUUAAGCAUAUCAAUAAGCGGAGGAAAAGAAACUAACAAGGAUUCCCCUAGUAACGGCGAGUGAAGCGGGAAGAGCUCAAAUUUAGAAUCUCACUGGUCUCCAGUGCGAGUUGUAGUUUAUAGAAGUGUUUUCGGUGGACGCCUGGGUAUAAGUCCUUUGGAACAGGGCAUCAUAGAGGGUGAGAAUCCCGUCCAUGACCCAGAGUUGGUCACUAUGUGAUACACUUUCGAAGAGUCAGGUUGUUUGGGAAUGCAGCCUAAAAUGGGUGGUAAAUGCCAUCUAAAGCUAAAUAUUGGCGAGAGACCGAUAGCGAACAAGUACCGUGAGGGUAAGAUGAAAAGAACUUUGAAAAGAGAGUUAAACAGUACGUGAAAUUGUUGAAAGGGAAACGUUUGAAACCAGCGAUGCUUGCGGGUGAUCACUCCUGGUGCUCUCACCCGUCGGCAAGUCAGCGUCAGUUUUGGUCGCCGGAAAAAGAAUCAAGGGAAUGUGGCCUCCUCCCGGGAGUGUUAUAGCCCUGGUUCGUACGGUGACUGGGACUGAGGUCUGCAGUCAAAUCCUGGAGGCACGGCUGCUGGGGAUAGAUCGGUGCUAGACAGCUUGCUGACUGGGGCUGAUUCUGUCUCCACACGGUCGGAGGUCUCUCAAAUUGGCUUAGGUCGCUGACUUAAUGGUUUAAAAUGACCCGUCUUGAAACACGGACC
rnacentral:rRNA from 1 species